CUAUCACUGUCUUGUUAAGCUCAUGGGUUCUUCUCAUAGAAGUUGCAUGAUCUCCACACUCUCCAUCUUCUUUCUUCUUCUUCUUCUUCUUCUAGCAUGCCACUUCACUGGAACCAAUGCUUACACUCUUGAUACCGAAGAGAAAUGGUCACCAAGAAGAAUGUUAGGGAGCCGAGUUCCGGCCGCAAAUCCGGCGCCGUUGCCCCGUACUAUGAUCAACUUUCCGAAGAAACGGAGCCCCCCGCCCCCGGUCCUGACACCGACCCCACCCGCGCCCCCGGCGAUCCUCAAUUAGACUAAAAUUUCUAUUAUUUGUAAUUCCUAUAGUAUUUUAUAUGAAAACAGUAUCAAUUGUCGACUCAAAAGCAGAGUGUGAUGCAUCGGGAGUACAUAAACAAAAGUGCUGUAACUUUUCUCAGUUUUUUU